UGGGGAAUAUUGCACAAUGGAGGGAACUCUGAUGCAGCGACGCCGCGUGAACGAAGAAGGCUUUCGAGUCGUAAAGUUCUUUUAUAUGGGAAGAUAAUGACGGUACCAUAAGAAAAAGCCCCGGCUAACUACGUGCCAGCAGCCGCGGUAAUACGUAGGGGGCUAGCGUUGUCCGGAAUCACUGGGCGUAAAGGGUUCGCAGGCGGAAAUGCAAGUCAGGUGUAAAAGGCAGUAGCUUAACUACUGUAAGCAUUCGAAACUGCAUAUCUUGAGAAGAGUAGAGGUAAGUGGAAUUUUUAGUGUAGCGGUGAAAUGCGUAGAUAUUAAAAAGAAUACCGGUGGCGAAGGCGACUUACUGGGCUCAUUCUGACGCUGAGGAACGAAAGCGUGGGUAGCAAACAGG
rnacentral:rRNA from 1 species